CUCCUCCUCUGUCUGUCCCUCCAGCCCAGCUUUCUCUCUCUCAAUCCCUGUUUCUUCUACACAAACCUCAACUCAUUCUCUCUCCCAGUCUCAGCCAGUAAUUCCCCCAGCCGCUCUGUCUCUCCACCAUUCUCGGGUCAGACUAACAACAGACCUGACCUGACUAGCUUAGGGUCAUUGUUGGAGGUAUAUCCCUAUGGAGGGCUGGCCAUGCUGGGCGGAUUUGUAGAGGUGGUCUUUUUAGCUUGCACGUUUUCUUCUCUCUUUCAGCCAUAUAGGAGUGUCACUCCCUUCCCUGGUCUCAUCUAGCUCUCUAUUGUUGAAUAGGAGUACAGAGAUUACUGGUACCCGAAAUACCUCCCCCACCCCUCCACCCCCCUUGUCUAUCUCCUUCCAACCCCUCUUUUUUUUAAUCGACAUCCAUCUCUGUCUUACCCUCGCUCCUUAUUAUCUACCACCGUCUUUGUUCCUUUUUCUCCAGUUUGGGUAGAAUUGAUGCUACCACCAUCUGUCCUGCAUCUUCCUACUUCGACAGGUAAAUGCAAUAAUUGGGUAUCUCUGAAGAGGUGUGUGCCUGUAUGUGUCUGCUUGGAAGAUGCACUAGGAGUCUGGGCUAUUCAUUAUGUGCAGAUAAUAUUCAAUUCAUUUGCUGUGCAUGUAAUUUUGCAUAAUUUAAUUGUGUGCUUCAUUUAAUUAUAUCACAUUACUCUGCCUGUAUUAUCACUGGGCAUGGUUUUAUGUGCAUGCAUUUACUUAUACACUUCAUUUUAUUAUAUUCAUGCAUACAUACUGUCACUAUAUCACAUUGCUUAUUAAUAUAUUAAUCUACAUGUUAUAUCCCUUGGCAUGUUAGUAGGCUAAAAUUAAUGAUAUACCAUAAUGACUGCACGCUGUCAUGUUGGCAUAUCCUAUUAUGUAUAUGUACAUUUAUCACUCAGCAUUUUAUUAUAUUAUUGGUAUCAUAAUAUAAUAUCAUAUCAUGUUAAUAACAUCUCAGCUUUUAUUAUCAUAUUAAAAUAUGUGAGUGUGUGUGUUUUAUAUGUUCAUAUUUUUAGGUGAUAUGCAUAUUCUUAAUUCUGAGUAAUGUUACCUGUACAUAAGGUUUAUUCUCCUAGUAUUAUAUCUCCAGGUAUAAUAUUAUGCAUGUGUCUAUGCUUUGCAUUUCAAAACACUCAUUUUAUAUAGUCCCACAUGUUAUAUAGCUUGCUCUUGCAUAAGAGAAUGAUGUGAUAUCUUGAUAUUUCAUUGUAUUGUUAAAUCUGCGAGAUAAGAACCCUAAAAUCAUUUCAGAUGUCUUUUUAUCUUGCAUAAACAAUGGUCUUUUUAUACAAUGCCACGUUUUGCCAAUUGCAGUCAUGUAUUUAGUACUGCUCAUAGACACAUGUAAUGACUGAAAUACACUUAAAACCCCAUAGGCCCUUCAGUUUCCUCUGAUAUAACAACUAGCUUGCCUUUUGCUCUGUAAGUGAAAAAUAAGUUUUAGUAAAAAAAAAUGAAUUAGAUCCUUUUGAAUAAUUAUGAUUCUUGACUGCCUAAAACCGAACUUAUGUGGUAGCAUGUUUAAAAAAUAAUUAAAUAAAUAAAUAUAUAUGUUGAAUGUUCCAAUGCCGGUUUAAAAUGAAAUUCUGAUCUAUUAAAUCAGUGUUUGACUGGUAGUAUAGAGAACACUUGGACAUAUUUGCACCUAUAGAUCCAUGCAUUUGGCAAACAGCAGCAACUUUGAAGAGGUCCUACUCCACCCUGAGGUUCUGUCAUGCAACGACAGUGCUGGGAGACAGAACAAUACACAGACCCAAUGCAAAGCCAAUGGGUGAUGUCAUAAUUCCUGUUAAAGCAGACUAAGCAGGUAUGAGAGGUCUGUACCCAGAAAAGGGGACUAUUUAAAAAAAAAAAAACUAAAAAAAAAACCUCUAAAACAUUGGCGUUGAUUAGUCUGUCAACUGCAUUUCUAGCCAUCAAUAAGGGGAGGAGGAAAUGCAGACACAGCAUGUUUUAUUCUAACAUGCACUUAUAAUUAGUCCGAACCAAGAGGUUUGCUUUAAAUAAAAAUACAAAAAAAAAAACUUGGAGGGGAGCUGCACUACCAUGAGGAUCUUUGACGAUAUUUAUGAAAAAGGAAAAAAUAUAUGUGAGCAUAUGUACUCCCAGCAAAAGCAAAAUGUGAGUGGAGCGUGUGAAAUGUUUCCUAAAACGAAACAAAACAAUGUUUCUGGCAGUAAAGACACUAUAGCCACCAAAACAACUUUAGCUUAAUGAAGCAGUUAUAGUGUAUAGAUCAUGCCUCUGAAGUUUCACUGCUCAAGUCUCUGCCAUUUAGAAUUUAAAUCACUAUUGUUUCUGUUCAUGCAGCUCCAGCCAUACCUACCCUUGCUGUAAGUCACACAAUCUGCAUGAAAACAAAAAAGAUAAAUUUUCAGUCAGAUGUUAACUUCCUUUAAAAGUUUGUAUCUCCUGCUCUGUAGAUUGAACUUUCAUCACACACAGGAGGCUCAUGCAGGUUUUGUGAGCUAUUAACAGAGCAGGAGAUUAGAAAUUCUAAACUAAACAUAAUUUGCAAUAAAGGUAGCAUAAACCUCAGAUGACUCUUUACAGGAAGUGUUUAGGAAGGAUGUGUAAAUCGCAUGCAGGGAGGUGUGCCUAGGGCUGCAUAAACAAAGUGAUUUAACUCCUAAAUGGCAGAGAAUUGAACAGUGAGACUGCAGGGAUAUGAUCUACAAUGGGCAAGGGCGUACCUAGAACAUUUGGCACCUGGGGCAGAUCCUGUGUUCAGCCCCCCUUAAACAAAAUCCCUUUCCCCCUUCUAUAAACCCCUGCACCCCCCUUCCAUAAACCUCCUGCACCCCUUCCCCCAAAAAGCUGCCUCUCCCUCUAAAGCCCCUUACAAAGGAAUUCAUUUUAUUACACAACAAUAUUAGCAAAAGUCUUCAGAGUCCAGUCCCAGGCACAUAGUCCCUCGCACAUACAGGGAGUGCAGAAUUAUUAGGCAAAUGAGUAUUUUGACCACAUCAUCCUCUUUAUGCAUGUUGUCUUACUCCAAGCUGUAUAGGCUCGAAAGCCUACUACCAAUUAAGCAUAUUAGGUGAUGUGCAUCUCUGUAAUGAGAAGGGGGUGUGGUCUAAUGACAUCAACACCCUAUAUCAGGUGUGCAUAAUUAUUAGGCAACUUCCUUUCCUUUGGCAAAAUGGGUCAAAAGAAGGACUUGACAGGCUCAGAAAAGUCAAAAAUAGUGAGAUAUCUUGCAGAGGGAUGCAGCACUCUUAAAACUGCAAAGCUUCUGAAGCGUGAUCAUCGAACAAUCAAGCGUUUCAUUCAAAAUAGUCAACAGGGUCGCAAGAAGCGUGUGGAAAAACCAAGGCGCAAAAUAACUGCCCAUGAACUGAGAAAAGUCAAGCGUGCAGCUGCCACGAUGCCACUUGCCACCAGUUUGGCCAUAUUUCAGAGCUGCAACAUCACUGGAGUGCCCAAAAGCACAAGGUGUGCAAUACUCAGAGACAUGGCCAAGGUAAGAAAGGCUGAAAGACGACCACCACUGAACAAGACACAAGCUGAAACGUCAAGACUGGGCCAAGAAAUAUCUCAAGACUGAUUUUUCUAAGGUUUUAUGGACUGAUGAAAUGAGAGUGAGUCUUGAUGGGCCAAAUGGAUGGGCCCGUGGCUGGAUUGUAAAGGGCAGAGAGGCUCCAGUCCGACUCAGACGCCAGCAAGAUGGAGGUGGAGUACUGGCUUGGGCUGGUAUCAUCAAAGAUGAGCUUGUGGGGCCUUUUCGGGUUGAGGAUGGAGUCAAGGUCAACUCCCAGUCCUACUGCCAGUUCCUGGAAGACACCUUCUUCAAGCAGUGGUACAGGAAGAAGUCUGCAUCCUUCAAGAAAAACAUGAUUUUCAUGCAGGACAAUGCUCCAUCACACGCGUCCAAGUACUCCACAGCGUGGCUGGCAAGAAAGGGUAUAAAAGAAGAAAAUCUAAUGACAUGGCCUCCUUGUUCACCUGAUCUGAACCCCAUUGAGAACCCGUGGUCCAUCAUCAAAUGUGAGAUUUACAAGGAGGGAAAACAGUACACCUCUCUGAACAGUGUCUGGGAGGCUGUGGUUGUUGCUGCACGCAAUGUUGAUGGUGAACAGAUCAAAACACCGACAGAAUCCAUGGAUGGCAGGCUUUUGAGUGUCCUUGCAAAGAAAGGUGGCUAUAUUGGUCACUGAUUUGUUUUUGUUUUGUUUUUGAAUGUCAGAAAUGUAUAUUUGUGAAUGUUGAGAUGUUAUAUUGGUUUCACUGGUAAUAAUAAAUAAUUGAAAUGGGUAUAUAUUUGUUUUUUGUUAAGUUGCCUAAUAAUUAUGCACAGUAAUAGUCACCUGCACACACAGAUAUCCCCCCAACAUAGCUAUAACUAAAAACAAACUAAAAACUACUUCCAAAAAUAUUCAGCUUUGAUAUUAAUGAGUUUUUUGGGUUCAUUGAGAACAUGGUUGUUGUUCAAUAAUAAAAUUAAUCCUCAAAAAUACAACUUGCCUAAUAAUUCUGCACUCCCUGUAGUUACAGAUAGUCACACAUCCAAUUACAGGCCGAUAGUCACAUAGUCACAUACAGUAACAGGCAACAUCCCCCAAUCACAGGAAGACAGACACACACACACACACACACAGUUACAUGCAGACAGUCACACACACAGUCACACUGUCACACACAGAGUUACAGGCAAGCAGUCACACACACACAAACACAUACAGUCACAGGCAGACAGUCACACACACAGUUACAGGCAGACAGUUACACACACAGUUACAGGCAUAAACACAGUCACAGAAAGACAGUCUCACACACACACGCACAGUUACAGACAGGCAGUUUCACACACAGUCACAGGCAUACAGUCACACACACAGUUACAGGAUGUCAGUCACAGAAAGACAGUCACGCACACACACACAGUUACAUGCAGACAGUCACACACAGGCACACUGUCACACACAGAGUAACAGGUAAGCAGUCAUACACAGUCACAGGCAGACAGUCACACACACAGUUACAGGCAGACAAUUACACACACAGUUACAGGCAUAAACACAGUCACAGAAAGACAGUAACACACACACACACAGUUACAGGCAGGCAGUCUCACACACAGUCACAGGCAUACAGUCACACACACACACAGUUACAGGAUGGCAGUCACAGAAAGACAGUCACGCACACACACACACACACACACACAGUUACAGGCAGGCAGUCUCAAACAUGCACAGUUACAGGAUGGCAGUCUUACACACACAGUCACAAGCAGACAGUCACACACACACACAGUCACAGGCAGGCAGUCACACACACACACGCACAGUCACAGGCAGACAGACACACACAGUUACAGGCAGACAGUCACACGCACAGUCUCACACACACACACACAGUUACAGGCAGACAGUCUCACACACACUCUAUCUCUCCCUUCCUCUGACUUACAGUCAGCUUGGGCGGGAGGAGAAGUAAAUUCAGUCCCUGGUGUGUAGUUGUUUGGGAAGCUCGAUGUGCAGCAGUAACAGCAGCGGGUGGAGGCUGUGUUUAGCUCCGCCCCUGCUGCUGGUUUGGCUCUGCGCCUGCUGCCGAUUAGCUCUGUCCUGUUUGUUUUAGAUGUGGCGGUUUUAAAGUUCUGCGGCUGCCUGUCCCUGCGUGUGUGAGCUGUGCGGCUGCCAUGGCAACCGGUCCAUGUGCACAGCUCACACAUCCUAAGGCCGCUCUGGUCAUGGCACCCCCUAGUGAGUGGUACACGGGGCGGACCACCCACACCCCCACCCCAUACUUAGUACGCCACUGACAAUGGGUAUGAUAUACAACAAAACUAGUUCAUUAAGCUAAGUUGUUUUGGUGACUAUAGUGUCCCUUUAAGUUAAGCAGCUUUCCUGGGAGAAUAUGCACUUAAUUCCAUAUAUUAGUGAUGUUUUUUAAAAACUAUAAAUGCCAAAAUUUAUUUUCUUCUUAUCUUACACAGGUGUCCUCUGGGCCCCCCACUCUCAUCUUUCAGCCCAGUGGGGGCCAUGAUAUCUCCUAAAGAGAAGAACAAAGCCCGCCCUCCAAAGGACAGCAUGACACUGCUUCCCUGUUUCUAUUUUGUGGAGGUGAGUGAUUCUUUAGACAGGCUGUGGAGACCUUCCAAGAGAUGGUGUACUCCUACGAUAAUCCUCAUUUUUUGUGGUAUAUUUUUAUUGAAUACUUUUCAUGCUAUAAUAAUAACAUUGGGUAGCUGAGCUUUGAUGUGAGCUUUUGAUUGUGACACAUAAAUUCAAACAUAUUGAGUGCAAUUUGCCUAUUGGUAGGUUGGAACAAUGGCUGGCAUUAAAAUUCCCAGACAAAAAG